rnacentral:misc_RNA from 1 species
AGCCUUUUUUAAUAUUGGAAUAAGACUUGAACACCAACGUUCGUUUUCGAAUCAGCAUUUCGUCAACAUCAUACAUCUCGGAAAACAUGGCUUGAAAGAUUGUAGAACUCCUAGAGAUUUUGUGGAGAAACAUGGUAUCUUUGAGAAGUCCACGACUGAGACAAUUGAUCGUUUCUUAAUUAUUGAUCACAAUGUUGAUGAUGUGGAUCUUGCGAGAUUAGUGACGAGGCAU